rnacentral:siRNA from 1 species
ACGGCGGUGGUUGCCGGCGAUGGU